rnacentral:rRNA from 1 species
UUAAAGAGAGUUUGAUCCUGGCUCAGGACGAACGCUGGCGGCGUGCCUAAUACAUGCAAGUCGAACGAACGGAGGAAGAGCUUGCUCUUCCAAAGUUAGUGGCGGACGGGUGAGUAACACGUGGGCAACCUGCCUGUAAGUUGGGGAUAACUCCGGGAAACCGGGGCUAAUACCGAAUGAUAGAGUGUGGCGCAUGCCACGCUUUUGAAAGAUGGUUUCGGCUAUCGCUUACAGAUGGGCCCGCGGUGCAUUAGCUAGUUGGUAGGGUAAUGGCCUACCAAGGCAACGAUGCAUAGCCGACCUGAGAGGGUGAUCGGCCACACUGGGACUGAGACACGGCCCAGACUCCUACGGGAGGCAGCAGUAGGGAAUCUUCCGCAAUGGACGAAAGUCUGACGGAGCAACGCCGCGUGUAUGAAGAAGGUUUUCGGAUCGUAAAGUACUGUUGUUAGAGAAGAACAAGGAUAAGAGUAACUGCUUGUCCCUUGACGGUAUCUAACCAGAAAGCCACGGCUAACUACGUGCCAGCAGCCGCGGUAAUACGUAGGUGGCAAGCGUUGUCCGGAUUUAUUGGGCGUAAAGCGCGCGCAGGCGGUCUUUUAAGUCUGAUGUGAAAGCCCCCGGCUUAACCGGGGAGGGUCAUUGGAAACUGGAAGACUGGAGUGCAGAAGAGGAGAGUGGAAUUCCACGUGUAGCGGUGAAAUGCGUAGAUAUGUGGAGGAACACCAGUGGCGAAGGCGACUCUCUGGUCUGUAACUGACGCUGAGGCGCGAAAGCGUGGGGAGCAAACAGGAUU